UAACGCGUGGGUAACCUGCCUCAUACAGGGGGAUAACAGUUAGAAAUGACUGCUAAUACCGCAUAAGCGCACAGUGCUGCAUGGCACAGUGUGAAAAACUCCGGUGGUAUGAGAUGGACCCGCGUCUGAUUAGCUAGUUGGUGGGGUAACGGCCUACCAAGGCGACGAUCAGUAGCCGACCUGAGAGGGUGACCGGCCACAUUGGGACUGAGACACGGCCCAG
rnacentral:rRNA from 1 species